rnacentral:rRNA from 1 species
GAUGAACGCUGGCGGCGUGCCUAAUACAUGCAAGUCGAGCGAACAGACGAGGAGCUUGCUCCUCUGACGUUAGCGGCGGACGGGUGAGUAACACGUGGAUAACCUACCUAUAAGACUGGGAUAACUUCGGGAAACCGGAGCUAAUACCGGAUAAUAUAUUGAACCGCAUGGUUCAAUAGUGAAAGACGGUUUUGCUGUCACUUAUAGAUGGAUCCGCGCCGCAUUAGCUAGUUGGUAAGGUAACGGCUUACCAAGGCAACGAUGCGUAGCCGACCUGAGAGGGGGUUGGGCCACACGGGAACUGAGACACGGCCCAGACUCCUAGGGGAGGCAGCAGUAGGGAAUCUUCGGCAAUGGGCGAAAGCCUGACGAAGAAACGCCGCGUGAGUGAUGAAGGUCUUCGGAUCGUAAAACUCUGUUAUUAGGGAAAAACAAUUUUGUAAGUAACUAUGCACGUUUGGAGGUUACCUAUAAAGAAAGCCAGGGCAAACAACUG